UACGUAGGUGGCAAGCGUUGUCCGGAAUUAUUGGGCGUAAAGCGCGCGCAGGUGGUUUCUUAAGUCUGAUGUGAAAGCCCACGGCUCAACCGUGGAGGGUCAUUGGAAACUGGGGAACUUGAGUGCAGGAGAGAAGAGUGGAAUUCCACGUGUAGCGGUGAAAUGCGUAGAUAUCGUUUGGAACGCCAAUGGUGAAAACAACUUGCUGGGGGUGUGCUGACGCUGAGACACGAAAGCCAGGGGAGCAAACGGG
rnacentral:rRNA from 1 species